rnacentral:lncRNA from 10 species
GACCCAAGAAAAAGUCCGAGAGGGCAACGCCAUGGGGCUGAGCUGCUCAAUGCCCUCCCAGUGCAUCCUGCUGCAAGGAUGCCCCCCAGGAUGCUGCCUCACCUAACCAGCCGCUCCAGGAGUGGCCCCCAGCCCCCACCCCAUGGAGCUUCGACUUCCUGGUGACCAGUGCUCCAGUAACCUCUAAGUGCUUGAACCACGCCUGUCAGCCAGUUAUGGCUUUGGCUCUGAGAGCCCCCCUGACCAACUUAACCAAUGCUUUUUUUCUGUAAGAAAUUGCCACUUACUGUUGGUUUCUGUCCGACCCGGUGAGAUACUUGAGGCUUCCCCUACCUGUGCACACAACGAAAUGAAGACAAUAAAAAGCCAGAGUUUGCUCU